CCUAGGGAGGCAGCAGUGAGGAAUAUUGGUCAAUGGGCGGGAGCCUGAACCAGCCAAGUCGCGUGAGGGAUGACGGCCCUAUGGGUUGUAAACCUCUUUUGCCGGGGAGCAAAGUGCUGCACGUGUGCGGUUUGGAGAGUACCCGGAGAAAAAGCAUCGGCUAACUCCGUGCCAGCAGCCGCGGUAAUACGGAGGGAGCAAGCGUUGUCCGGAAUUACUGGGCGUAAAGGGCGCGUAGGUGGGCGCUUAAGUCAGGUGUGAAAACUCCGGGGUCAACCUGGAGACUGCACUUGAAACUGGGUGUCUUGAGGGCAGGAGAGGAAAGUGGAAUUCCUAGUGUAGCGGUGAAAUGCGUAGAUAUUAGGAGGAACACCAGUGGCGAAGGCGACUUUCUGGACUGUACCUGACGCUGAGGCGCGAAAGCGUGGGUAGCGAACGGGAUUAGAUACCCCGGUAGUC
rnacentral:rRNA from 1 species